GUGAGGAAUAUUGCGCAAUGGAGGCAACUCUGACGCAGCCAUGCCGCGUGCAGGAAGAAGGCGCUACGCGUUGUAAACUGCUUUUAACCGGGAAGAAACCCCAGGACGUGUCCUGGGUUGACGGUACCGGAGGAAUAAGCACCGGCUAACUUCGUACCAGCAGCCGCGGUAAUACGAAGGGUGCAAGCGUUAUCCGGAUUCAUUGGGUUUAAAGGGUGCGUAGGCGGAGCGUUAAGUCAGUGGUGAAAUCCUGCAGCUUAACUGUAGACUUGCCAUUGAUACUGGCGCUCUUGAGUGCGCUUGAAGUGGGCGGAAUGUGCCGUGUAGCGGUGAAAUGCUUAGAUAUGGCACAGAACACCAAUUGCGAAGGCAGCUCACUAAGGCGAUACUGACGCUGAGGCACGAAAGCGUGGGGAUCGAACAGGAUUAGAUACCCUAGUAGUCC
rnacentral:rRNA from 1 species